rnacentral:lncRNA from 10 species
UUUUUACAUCUCCCAUUUAUCAGCUCUUGCCAAAACAGUAGCGCAGCGAUGUGUUAUCUGCCGACAGCACAAUGCAAGACAGGGUCCAGCCGUUCUGCCAGGUAUACAGACAUAUGGAGCAGCCCCCUUUGAAGAUCUCCAAGUGAACUUCACAGAAAUGCCAAAGCGUGGAGGUGAUUGAGUGUGGAUCAAAGAUUGGAACACAUCCCCCUUGCGACCACGGUGGAAAGGAGCCCAGACCAUCAUCUUGACCACCCCCCCACAGCUGUAAAGGUAGAAGGAAUCCCAGCCUGGAUCCACCAUAGCUGAAUAAAACCUGCAGCCUCUGAAACCUGGGAGAAAAAUAUUCACAACUCAUUCUGUAUGAUGUAAAUAUAGCACUCAAAACUGUAUGUGUUCUUGUUCAUGCCCUCAAUUUUAUACUUUAUUAUCUAGAAAAAUAUAUAUGAACCGAUGUGGCGGAUCUUAUGCUGC